rnacentral:rRNA from 1 species
UAAAUACCGACCUGCAUGAAUGGCGUAACGAGAUGGGAGCUGUCUCAAAGAGGGAUCCAGUGAAAUUGUAGUGGAGGUGAAAAUUCCUCCUACCCGCGGCAAGACGGAAAGACCCCGUGGACCUUUACUACAGCUUGACACUGCUACUUGGAUAAGAAUGUGCAGGAUAGGUGGGAGGCUUUGAGUAUAUGACGCCAGUUGUAUAUGAGCCAUUGUUGAGAUACCACUCUUUCUUAUUUGGGUAGCUAACCAGCUUGAGUUAUCCUCAAGUGGGACAAUGUCUGGUGGGUAGUUUGACUGGGGCGGUCGCCUCCCAAAUAAUAACGGAGGCUUACAAAGGUUGGCUCAGAACGGUUGGAAAUCGUUCGUAGAGUAUAAAGGUAUAAGCCAGCUUAACUGCAAGACAUACAAGUCAAGCAGAGACGAAAGUCGGUCUUAGUGAUCCGGUGGUUCUGUGUGGAAGGGCCAUCGCUCAAAGGAUAAAAGGUACCCCGGGGAUAACAGGCUGAUCUCCCCCAAGAGCUCACAUCGACGGGGAGGUUUGGCACCUCGAUGUCGGCUCAUCGCAUCCU